rnacentral:misc_RNA from 1 species
CACAGCGAAAGUUAAGUUCAGUUCACUGGAAACCAAUCUUUGCUCCUCAUGGGAAGCUUAAACAACAACGGACCUAGAAUCUUUACAUCUCACCACCAAGCUGCAUCUUGCAAUCGUACCCAACAGAUCGGCGCCAUCCUCCUAGUCGCCGCCACCUUCUUCUUCACUCGCCUAUUUGACCAGUCAUUUCAUACCCGCAUUCCCUCCUCCUUCAACCACCACCUCACACCCCAAUCGCAGAGCCUUGUCCAUGUUACCGAC